CCUACUUUGUUCCUCAUUUAUUCAUAUUUUUCCCUGUCCUCUCUUCUGACCCAGCCAAGUCGCGUGAGGGAAGAAUGUCCUAUGGAUUGUAAACCUCUUUUGUCAGGGAGCAAAGUCACCCACGUGUGGGUGUUGGAGAGUACCUGAAGAAAAAGCAUCGGCUAACUCCGUGCCAGCAGCCGCGGUAAUACGGAGGAUGCGAGCGUUAUCCGGAUUUAUUGGGUUUAAAGGGUGCGUAGGCGGGUUAUCAAGUCAGCGGUAAAAUCGUGGAGCUCAACUCCAUCCAGCCGUUGAAACUGAUGAUCUUGAGUGGGCGAGAAGUAUGCGGAAUGCGUGGUGUAGCGGUGAAAUGCAUAGAUAUCACGCAGAACUCCGAUUGCGAAGGCAGCAUACCGGCGCCCGACUGACGCUGAAGCACGAAAGCGUGGGUAUCGAACAGGAUUAGAUACCCGAGUAGUC
rnacentral:rRNA from 1 species